ensembl:lncRNA
UUCCACCCGUUUCAGAGUUUAUAAUGGGUGUGUAUGGGACGGAAUGUUGGGGCUAGAGUGAGAGAGCUCAACUGCUAGAGUGAGAGGAGCAAAAAAAUUAAUCUUAAAAUCUUUUUUAAAACUGCUGCUGUGUCCGCAGCGUUUGCUCUACAGCCGCCAUUUUACCCUCAAAACGUAGCCAUCGCUGUCCUCUUUCAUCCAAUGUGUUUACUAUUGUCCUAGGUGUUAUGGUUCUUUCAUAAAUGUCACCAAUGCACAGCCUCCUCCCUCCAACUCUUCCAUAGACUCUAAUGUUAAAAUGGCUCAGAAGGUUCGUUUGAAAAUCAGAAGAGCAUGGUGUCUUUCCACUGUCACCACGUCCAUAUAAUAAGCUCCACAGGCAUGAAAACUGAGAAUUAGGUAGACUAGACAUUGCUGUCGCUCACGGUGAAAGAAUUUUGUCAAUACGACUUUUACUUUUCAUUUGGGAACGAUUUGUUUCGGCCUGACUUUUCUGUUCAUUUUAAGCAGCAAAAGUGAGGCGCAUGUCUGUGUACGUGUGUAUGGAGCCAUUGGGUGCGGUCACUAUAGCAACCAGGCUCACACCUGCCUGCUUAACGAGCUCUGCCUGCCACUGUACCAAGAUUCAUCUUAAGCACUUCUCUUUCAACUGCUGCUGUGUCCACAGUAUUACAGCCAUCAUUUUACCCUCAAAUUGUUGCCAUUAUUGUUCUCUUUCCAACACCGUAUCUUUCAAAGCUCAGGCAUUUAAACUUUUUAAAUUGUGUGGAUCAAAGUGGAGGGAUCACAUUUGAGUCAUUCAGUGAUUCAAAGAAUAUGACCUUUUAAUAUUCAUUCAGAUGUUUUCUGACUCUAAAUGUUCUUUUCUCAUUUCUUAGGGUUUUCUAAUUUACAUUUAAAACAUUUUCAGUUUUUUUCCAACUCCUUCUUCUGUGUAACCUUCAGCUUUUAGCAGUUCAGCACCUUUGUUUUCAGGUUAAAUUCGUUUUUUUUUUUUGUUUUUUUUAAUCUCAUUCAAUAUUUUUAACUCAAAAUUCAGCAAUUAAUUCAUUUCAGUGCAUACAUUCAGAUUCAAGCAUUCACACUGCAGUUUCUUCAGAAAAUGCACUUUCUAGUUAUUAUUCCAUAUUCCGUACGUUUUUUGGCAUCUAACUCCUUCAAAACCGUUCAACUUAGAAAAACCAUUCAAACAUCGUUAGAUUCCUAUUAUUUUGGACAUGACUGCUUCUAUUUUUCUCAUUUUUAACAUUUAUAUUUUUAAUUUUAUUCAACUUUAUUCAACAAAAAUUUAUAAUGUAUUUCAAUGGGGAGACCCUUCAAAUUCUCAUUCAACUUACUCAUUUUUAAACUCUUACUACUUCCACAUACAUUGACAUAGAGCCACCAUUCAAACUUUAAAACGAAGACAAGACAUUCAACUAUUCAACUUGUAUUUAUCUUUUCAAUAUCUAUUAUACUUUUUCUUCAGUUCCAGUUUAAGUUUCAUGAUGUUUUUUCACCCAUUUCAAAAUUUAUAAUGGGUGUGUAUGGGACGGAAUGUUGGGGCUAGAGUGAGACAGCUCAACUGCUAGAGUGAGAGGAGCAAAAAAAUUAAUCUUAAAAUCUUUUUUAAAACUGCUGCUGUGUCUGCAGCGUUUGCUCUACAGGUAUGAUUUUACCCUCAAAACGUAGCCAUCGCUGUCCUCUUUCAUCCAAUGUGUUUACUAUUGUACUAGGUGUUAUGGUUCUUUCAUAAAUGUCACCAAUGCACAGCCUCCUCCCUCCAACUCUUCCAUAGACUCUAAUGUUAAAAUGGCUCAGAAGGUUCGUUUGAAAAUCAGAAGAGCAUGGUGUCUUUCCACUGUCACCACGUCCAUAUAAUAAACUCCACAGACAUGAAAACUGAGAAUUUGGUAGACUAGACAUUGCUGUCGCUCACAGUGAAAGAAUUUUGUCAAUACGACUUUUACUUUUCAUUUGGGAACGAUUUGUUUCGCCCUGACUUUUCUGUUCAUUUUAAGCAGCAAAAGUGAGGCGCAUGUCUGUGUACGUGUGUAUGGAGCCACUGGGUGCGGUCACUAUAGCAACCAGGCUCACACCUGCCUGCUUAACGAGCUCUCUCUCUCACUCUGCCAAGAUUCAUCUUAAGCACUUCUCUUUCAACUGCUGCUGUGUCCACAGUGUUAAAGCCAUCAUUUUACCCUCAAAACGUCGCCAUCGUUGUUCUUUUUCCAACAUCUUGUCUUUCAAAGCUCAGAGAUGUAAACUUUUUAAACUGUGUGGGUCCAAGUGGAGGGAUCACAUUUUAGUCAUUCAGUGAUUCAAAGAAUAUGACCUUUUAAUAUUCAUUCAGAUGUUUUCUGACUCUAAAUGUUCUUUUCUCAUUUCUUAGGGUUUUCUAAUUUACAUUUAAAACAUUUUCAGUUUUUUUCCAACUUCUUCUUCUGUGUAACCUUCAGCUUUUAGCAGUUCAAGCACCUUUGUUUUCAGGUUAAAUUCGGUUUUUUUUUUUGGUUUUUUUUUAUCUCAUUCAAUAUUUUUAACUCAAAAUUCAGCAAUUAAUUCAUUUCAGUGCAUACAUUCAGAUUCAAGCAUUCACACUGCAGUUUCUUCAGAAAAUGCACUUUCUAGUUAGUGUGAAUGCUUGAAAAGCAUUCACAGUAUUGUUCUUCUAAUCUUUAUUAUUCUAUUUUAUUAUUAUCUAUUCCGUACGUUUUUUGAAAGCCUACUCCUUCAAAACCGUUCAACUUAGAAAAACCAUUCAAACACCAUUAGAUUCCUAUUCUUUUGGACACUGUUGCUUGUAUUUUUCUCAUUUUUAACAUUUAUAUUUUUAAUUUUAUUCAACUUUAUUCAACAAAAAUUUCCCAUGUAUUUCAAUGGGGAGACCCUUCAAAUUCUCAUUCAACUUACUCAUUUUUAAACUCUUACUACUUCAACAUACGUUCACAUAGAGCCACCAUUCAAACUUUAAAACGAAGACAAGACAUUCAACUAUUCAACUUGUAUUUAUCUUUUCAAUAUCUAUUAUACUUUUUCUUCAGUUCCAGUUUAAGUUUCAUGAUGUUUUUUCACCCGUUUCAGAGUUUAUAAUGGGUGUGUAUGGGACGGAAUGUUGGGGCUAGAGUGAGGCAGCUCAACUGCUAGAGUGAGAGGAGCAAAAAAAAUAAUCUUAAAAUCUUUUUUAAAACUGCUGCUGUGUCCGCAGCGUUUGCUCUACAGGUAUGAUUUUACCCUCAAAACGUAGCCAUGGCUGUCCUCUUUCAUCCAAUGUGUUUACUAUUGUCCUAGGUGUUAUGGUUCUUUCGUAAAUGUCACCAAUGCACAGCCUCCUCCCUCCAACUCUUCCAUAGACUCUAAUGUUAAAAUGGCUCAGAAGGUUCGUUUGAAAAUCAGAAGAGCACGGUGUCUUUACACUGUCACCACGUCCAUAUAAUAAACUCCACAGGCAUGAAAACUGAGAAUUCAGUAGACUAGACAUUGCUGUCACUCACGGUGAAAGAAUUUUGUCAAUAUGACUUUUACUUUUCAUUUGGGAACGAUUUGUUUCGGCCUGACUUUUCUGUUCAUUUUAAGCAGCAAAAGUGAGGUGCAUGUCUGUGUCCGUGUGUAUGGAGCCAUUGGGUGCGGUCACUAUAGCAACCAGGCUCACACCUGCCUGCUUAACGAGCUCUCUCUCUCACUCUGCCAAGAUUCAUCUGAAACACUUCUCUUUCAACUGCUGCUGUGUCCACAGUGUUAAAGCCAUCAUUUUACCCUCAAAACGUCGCCAUCGUUGUUCUCUUUCCAACAUCUUGUCUUUCAAAGCUCAGAGAUGUAAACUUUUUAAACUGUGUGGAUCCAAGUGGAGGGAUCACAUUUUAGUCAUUCAGUGAUUCAAAGAAUAUGACCUUUUAAUAUUCUUUCAGAUGUUUUCUGACUCUAAAUGUUCUUUUCUCAUUUCUUAGGUUUUUCUAAUUUACAAUUAAAACAUUUUCAGCUUUUUUCCAACUUCUUCUUCUGUGUAACCUUCAGCCUUUAGCAGUUCAGCACCUUUGUUUUCAGGUUAAAUUCGUUUUUUUUUGUUGUUUUUUUUAAAUCUCAUUCAAUAUUUUUAACUCAAAAUUCAGCAAUUAAUUCAUUUCAGUCCAUACAUUCAGAUUCAAGCAUUCACACUGCAGUUUCUUCAGAAAAUGCACUUUCUAGUUCCA